UGCUCCUGGCAGAGGCAGAGCCAUUGCUGACCCAGCUGAUGCAGACCCCCGGCCUCUGAAUGUCAGCAUGGCCUGGGCUGCAAGGGACAGCACUCAAUUCUUCAUGCACCAGAAUCCCCAGGGCCUUCAUGGCAGGGCUGCUCUCAACCCCUUCAUCCCCCUUUGCCCUGACCUCUGUGCAGGACCUGCACUUGCUCUUGUUGAACUUCGUGUGACCCUCGUGGGCCUCAAGCCUGUCCAGGCCCCCUGGAUGUCACCCUGUCCCUCAGGGACAUCAGCUGAGCCACCUGGCCUAGUGCCACCUGCCGAUUUGCUGCUGCUGCACUUCAUGUCACUGCCUAUGUCUCUGGUGAAGGGUGAAUGCCGCUGGUGGCAGGCUGGGGGACACCAGUCCCUCCUGGCUCCCACAUGGACGCUGAGCAGCACACAGGGCCGGCCACCAGAGCAGCCCCAGGCCGGGGCAGCCAUGGAUCAGAUCCAGGAUGCAGAUCUGAAGUGAGAUGAGAGCUGUUGGAACAGCAUGCAGCAGAACUACCAGAAACAGGAGUUCAAAAAUCAAGAAGAGUCUAAACAUAACCUGUGAAGUUAAUUCUCAACCAGAACUGCAGACAGACUGCAUCUCCAACUCGGAUGUUUUUCAUGUGAUAUGGUAUAGAUCUGUGCAUAAUAAUAGAAUGUCCUAAAAAAAAUAGAAAGGAAGAAAAAAAAAAAGGCAGGAAUCAAAAUAAAAAUGGGCCAGGGCUGAAGAUGAUCAAACUCUUCUCCAUGAUUCCAUGCUGCUCCCACAGAACAGGAACAUUCGUCUGCUGAUUUUGUUGGGUUCAAGAUGCUCCUGCUAUUUCAAAGUGUAGUAGCCACCCACAGUUAUCCUGUUUCCUGCCUUCUGUUUUAUUGUGCUUCUAUUAACAGUAUGAACACUUGUGGAUUUUUCACUGAUGCAGUUUGAUAAUUUCAAUUUUCAAAGAAAAAGUAGCUUGCAAAUCCAGAGAAAAAAACAGCUGUAAUCAAACAGUCUGACCUGUGUAGCACCUGGCACUGAAUUUUCCUGAGUCAGUCUCUGUUUAAAUCAUAUGAUCUCUUGUGGAAAACAAAGAGUUUUGAUUUAAGGUUUGCAAAGACUGGUAAUGGCAAUGGUCUGAUAAUAAAGUACCAGCAGAUAUUUGCAGCUAUCAGGGCAGGGGGCAUAAAUUUGAGCUGGAUGGAUAGGGUUAAACCAGUUCCAAGCUUUUUCCCAGCACUGAAUCAAUAAAUUGGUGUUGCAAAAAGGAA